rnacentral:lncRNA from 1 species
GGGCGCCGCGCGCCCGCCGAGGCACUGCACCUGCGCUGCCGAGCGACGUCGGUGCCGCGGGACCCGGGUGCGCAGGGACGGCUGCUGCGGCGAGGCUGGGACCUGCGUGCGUGGGACCGCCACCCCUGGUUCAAAGAGACGAAUGCCUUUGAUAAUCUUCCCAGGCGCCCAAGGUGGCGUUUGGCUUACCUUCAGCUCUCCCUCUGCUUUUUUCUGGAGGGACCUGGGGGGAGGCGGGAUGCACCUGACGCGCGGGUGACCCGCACCAGCGCCGGCCUCCACCCUGCGCGCCAGUGCAGGCAGAGGCCAGCCGCACCUUAAUUUCUGUGCUUACCCCAAACUCAUGCAGCCACUGUGGUAUGUAUGGAAGUCAAAUGCGCUUGGUGUUCUGACUAGUUCUCUUUCACUUCACCUGCCACUCAUGCACAAAAUAGUGAGGAAUUACAUGUUUUUUUUUAAUCUAUUUAAAGCCAUGUUAAAUAAAAACCCCCAGAGCAGUCAGCAAGAUUGACCAGCUGUUGUAACCACUCGUGUUAUUUUCGUUAGUAGCACUGCGUUUCAUAUUCGUCGUUUUUUUGUUGUUUUUUACGUUGCUGGGCCUGGACCCCACGUGCUAGGCCAGCACUCUACCACUGAUCUACAUACCCAUCCUAUUUUUAUUUCUUUAAAAUAUUAUUUCUUUUGAUUUUUAAAAAUUGUCUUAGUGCCAUUAUCUGGGAUUCUGGAAAUUAUUUUCACCUUCAGACAGUGUAAAAUGCUAAGAUUCUGGAGGUAGACCACCAAAUCUUUCUCAUCUUAACUCUGUGCUCUCUCUAAUAGCCUUUAUUUUUUUUUUUUUAC